rnacentral:rRNA from 1 species
UACGGAGGGGGCUAGCGUUGUCCGGAGUUACUGGGCGUAAAGCGCGCGUAGGCGGCCUGUUAAGUCGGGUGUGAAAGCCCGGGGCUCAACCCCGGAUGCGCAUCCGAGACUGUCAGGCUGGAGUCCGGGAGAGGGCGGCGGAAUUCCCAGUGUAGAGGUGAAAUUCGUAGAUAUUGGGAAGAACACCGGUGGCGAAGGCGGCCGCCUGGUCCGGAACUGACGCUGAGGCGCGAAAGCGUGGGGAGCAAAC